rnacentral:rRNA from 1 species
UGCGUAACAGCUCACUGGUCGAGUGGACAUGCGCCGACAAUACACGGGGCUAAGCGUUGUACCGAAGCAGCGGACUGUUUUAUCAGUGGUAGGGGAGCUUUCCAUGCCGGGGCGAAGCCGACGGGCGACCGUCGGUGGACUGCAUGGAAGUGAGAAUGCUGGCAUGAGUAACGAGAGAGGGGCGAGAAACCCCUCCGCCGUAAGCCUAAGGGUUCCUGGGCAAGGCUAAUCCCCCCAGGGUCAGUCGGGAGCUAAGGCGAGGCCGACAGGCGUAGCCGAUGCACAACAGGCGGACAUUCCUGUACCACCGCGGAGCGUUACUACGACGGGGUGACGGAGAAGGGUAGCCGGGCGGGGUUCUGGACGUCCCCGUGAAAGCGCGUAGGCCGCAGGGCAGGCAAAUCCGCCCUGCAGCGAGGCCGAGACGUUAGACGAAGCUUCAUGUGAAGCCGGCGAGCCCAUGCUUUCGAGAAAAACCUCUAAGGAGCGAGGCGGUGCCCGUACCAAAACCGACACAGGUAGGCGGGUAGAGCAUACCAAGGCGAUCGGGAGAACCAUGGUUAAGGAACUCGGCAUACUGACUCCGUAACUUCGGGAGAAGGAGUGCCCCCGCCUGUGAGGUCCCACGCGGACGGAGCGGGAGGGGGUCGCAGCGAAACGGCCCAAGCGACUGUUUACCAAAAACACAGGACUCUGCAAAGCCGCAAGGCGACGUAUAGGGUCUGACGCCUGCCCGGUGCUGGAAGGUUACGCGGAUGAGUUAGCGCAAGCGAAGCCCUGAAGCCAAGCCCCAGUAAACGGCGGCCGUAACUAUAACGGUCCUAAGGUAGCGAAAUUCCUUGUCGGGUAAGUUCCGACCUGCACGAAUGGCGUAACGACUUCCCCACUGUCUCGACCAGGAGCUCGGCGAAAUUGCAGUACGAGUAAAGAUGCUCGUUUCGCGCAGAAGGACGGAAAGACCCUAUAGACCUUAACUGUAAGCUGUCAUUGUUUCUUCGGUUUUAAUGCUCAGAGUAAGUGGGAGACGCUGAAGACGCCCUUUAGGGGGCGUCCGAGUCAUCAAUGAGACACCACCCUUUGAAACUGGAGGAUCUAACCCUGAGCCGUGAAUCCGGCCAGAGGACCGUGUCAGCCGGUCAGUUUUACUGGGGCGGUAUCCUCCCAAAGAGUAACGGAGGAGCGCGAAGGUGGGCUCAGCCCGGUUGGCAACCGGGUGUCGAGUGCAUGGGCAUAAGCCCGCCUAACUGUGAGACCAACAAGUCGAGCAGAUGCGAAAGCAGGCCCAAGUGAUCCGGCGGUAGAAAGUGGAAUUGCCGUCGCUCAACGGAUAAAAGGUACCUUAGGGAUAACAGGCUGAUCACGCCCAAGAGUUCAUAUCGACGGCGUGGUUUGGCACCUCGAUGUCGGCUCGUCGCAUCCUGGGGCUGGAGAAGGUCCCAAGG